rnacentral:rRNA from 1 species
UACGGAAGGCAGCAGUGGGGAAUAUUGCACAAUGGGCGCAAGCCUGAUGCAGCCAUGCCGCGUGUAUGAAGAAGGCCUUCGGGUUGUAAAGUACUUUCAGCGGGGAGGAAGGCGAUGCGGUUAAUAACCGCGUCGAUUGACGUUACCCGCAGAAGAAGCACCGGCUAACUCCGUGCCAGCAGCCGCGGUAAUACGGAGGGUGCAAGCGUUAAUCGGAAUUACUGGGCGUUAAAGCGCACGCAGGCGGUCUGUUAAGUCAGAUGUGAAAUCCCCGGGCUUAACCUGGGAACUGCAUUUUGAAACUGGCAGGCUUGAGUCUUGUAGAGGGGGUAGAAUUCCAGGUGUAGCGGUGAAAUGCGUAGAGAUCUGGAGGAAUACCGGUGGCGAAGGCGGCCCCUGGACAAGACUGACGCGUCAGGU